CAGGAAGUCCUCUAGCUCCCCAGGCAUUGGUUAAUGCCUCUCUUCUGGGCUCCUUAACACCAGUACUUCCCCAUCAGCACAGGCAGCAAUGGUCUCAGCACCUUCAGGUGCACAGUACCUGGCACAGGGCACCAAAGCUCUGGCUCUGUCCUCCUGGUGUCUGUGGGAAGAAACAGUGUGUUGAGUCCAGCUUGCACCAGCUCCUGUGGUCAUCUUUGCCUCCGCAGCCCCUGACAUCACCUUGGUAGCCUGAAAUUGGCCACAAUGAGACUAUCUACACCAUGCAAAGCAGCAAACACCGUGUUUCAGGAUUUUGCAGCAAACACACAUAUUGGGUUUUUGGUUUGUUUCCUGUUGUUUUUGUUGGCUUACCAGCACACCACUGGUUGUGAUUUUAGGGGCCAUAAAAAAUGGUUGUUUUGAGCUGGGUACAGUGGCUCACUCCUGUAAUUCCAG
rnacentral:lncRNA from 1 species